rnacentral:rRNA from 1 species
UACGGGGGGGGUAAGCGUUGUUCGGAAUUACUGGGCGUAAAGGGCUCGUAGGCGGCCAACUAAGUCAGACGUGAAAUCCCUCAGCUUAACUGGGGAACUGCGUCUGAUACUGGAUGGCUUGGAUUCGGGAGAGGAAUGCGGAAUUCCAGGUGUAGCGGUGAAAUGCGUAGAUAUCGCUUGGAACGCCAAAGGUGAAAACAGGCUGCUGGGGAUGUGCCGACGCUGAGACACGAAAGCCAGGGGAGCAAACGGGG